CACCUCAGCCUCCCAAGUAGCUGGGACUACACAUGCACACCACCACAUCUGGCUAAUUUUUUAAAAAAAUUUUUGUAUAGAUGGAGUCUUAUUACAUUGCCCAGGCUGGUUUCAAACUCCUGGGCUCAAACCAUUGUUCCACCUCAGCCUACCAAAGUGUUGGGUUUAUAGGUGUGAGCCACUACACCUGGCCUGUAUUGUUUUCUUCUUCUUAUUAUUAUUUUUUUUGACACAGGGUCUCACUCUAUUACUCAGGCUGGAGUGCAAUGGCAGAUCUUGGCUCACAGCAGCCUCAACCACCCAGGCUCAAGCAAUCCUCCCAUCUCAGCCUCCCAGGUUACUGGGACUACAGGCCGUGCUGCUUGGUUAAUUAAAAUAAAUUUUUUGUAGAGAUGGGGUCUCACUAUAUUGCCCAGGUUGGUCUCAAACUCCUAGGCUCAAGCAAUCCUCCAGCCUCAGCCUCCCAAAGUGCUGAUUACAGGUGCAAGCCACUGCACCCAGCCUAAUUUUUAUUGUGGUUUCCCCUGCCUGCAAUAUUUUCGAUCCCCAGCCAGUUGGGUGAGUCUGCGCAUGCAGAACCGGGCAUAGGAGGACUGUGACAUAUUAGAGUGGAAACUAGCUCAAGGCAGAGGUUUCAGAAUAAUUCAUGAAACAGUUUUGCCAGAAGAGACAUUGCUAGAUGCUGCUAAGCAUCAUUCAGAAUCAACAGGUUAAAUGGCCAUUCGUCAAGGUUAACACUGCCCUGGGCCAGCUUCUGAGGGGUUAACACUUUGAAAACAUAAGAAAGAUGAUAAUAAAGUUAGUAUAUAUAUACACACUUGAAAAGUGUGUUAUCUUUCCAGACUGAAUCCUCAAGCACCAUCAUCUCAGAAAUCAAAUACUUUUAAGUUGGAAGGCAUUUUGAAGGUCGUCUGAUAACAUUUAAGUCUUCCAAUCAAAAGUAGGAUUUUUGUAGAAACAGUAGUUGCAAAACCUAGGCUUUGUUGAGAGAGAAAUAGGAUUUUCUAAAUUUCUUUAGCUCCCAUUGAACAUCUGAGAAACAAGGUUGUAGGUAAAACUCAGAUCACAGAGUCAUUUCCAUGCCUGCAAGCACUGGUUCUGUUUAAAAUGACUGGGCUGGGAAGGGAGGCAGAUGCUUUAGGGUAAAAGGAGAAUGAUAAAUUGUAGAGGCAGAAAGCCUGCCCAUUUCUGGUCCCAAAGGACCAUGAGAAGAAGAAGGGAGACAGAUGCUAGACAGACACAUCGAUCUUGAUUUUCUGUUUCUGGAAUGCCCAGAGGGAAGGGUGUGUUCAAUAAGUUAAAGUCCACACAGGGUUCUUUCCCCUCAUUUCAUAUUCAAGACUCUACAUGGAAACAUAGGCUCCCAGGUCCAUCUGGGAGCGGCCACAUCAUUGUAAACUCAGCAGUCAAGUGUGGUUAAGCAGUGGAAGGGCUAAAGUUUGGCUUUCCCAAGUUGCCCUCAGUUCCUGUGUGGUGUGGAAAGAAUUCAGGAUCUCCUGCAUGCCUCUGCAGGGGUGGGGCACAGAUGCUGGUUGAGUCUGGCUGGAGAACUUAC
rnacentral:lncRNA from 1 species